rnacentral:rRNA from 1 species
GAUGAACGCUGGCGGCGUGCCUAAUACAUGCAAGUCGAGCGAACGGACGAGAAGCUUGCUUCUCUGAUGUUAGCGGCGGACGGGUGAGUAACACGUGGAUAACCUACCUAUAAGACUGGGAUAACUUCGGGAAACCGGAGCUAAUACCGGAUAAUAUUUUGAACCGCAUGGUUCAAAAGUGAAAGACGGUCUUGCUGUCACUUAUAGAUGGAUCCGCGCUGCAUUAGCUAGUUGGUAAGGUAACGGCUUACCAAGGCAACGAUGCAUAGACGACGUGAGAGGGUGAUAGGCCACACUGGAACUGAGACACGGUCCAGACUCCUACGGGAGGCAGCAGUAGGGAAUCUUCCGCAAUGGGCGAAAGCCUGACGGAGCAACGCCGCGUGAGUGAUGAAGGUCUUCGGAUCGUAAAACUCUGUUAUUAGGGAAGAACAUAUGUGUAAGUAACUGUGCACAUCUUGACGGUACCUAAUCAGAAAGCCACGGCUAACUACGUG